rnacentral:rRNA from 1 species
GAUGAACGCUGGCGGCGUGCCUAAUACAUGCAAGUCGAGCGAAUGGAUUAAGAGCUUGCUCUUAUGAAGUUAGCGGCGGACGGGUGAGUAACACGUGGGUAACCUGCCCAUAAGACUGGGAUAACUCCGGGAAACCGGGGCUAAUACCGGAUAACAUUUUGAGCCGCAUGGUUCGAAAUUGAAAGGCGGCUUCGGCUGGCACUGAUGGAUGGACCCGCGUCGCAUUAGCUAGUCGGUGAGGUAACGGCUCACCAAGGCAACGAUGCGUAGCCGACCUGAGAGGGUGAUCGGCCACACUGGGACUGAGACACGGCCCAGACUCCUACGGGAGGCAGCAGUAGGGAAUCUUCCGCAAUGGACGAAAGUCUGACGGAGCAACGCCGCGUGAGUGAUGAAGGCUUUCGGGUCGUAAAACUCUGUUGUUAGGGAAGAACAAGUGCUAGUUGAAUAAGCUGGCACCUUGACGGUACCUAACCAGAAAGCCACGGCUAACUACGUGCCAGCCGCCGCCGUAA